GGGGUCAUUAUCGUAGACGAAUUGGUUUAAAUGGAUACAUCAUUACCACGUGGUGAAAUAAACUUUCACAAAACAAACUGUCAAUCAAAAUGUAUCUACACAAUAAAAUUUAAAUAAAAUCAACAGUUUUCUAACAAUCUAAUAAACAACAUACUCAACAUAACAAAUUCUGAUUUGCAAAUCUCGUUGAUCUGACGAGAACAAAUAACGGUUCUCUCCCUUUGAUAAUUAAAAACGUGUGCAAAUGGUAACAUUGAAAUACAAUAUAUUAUUUAAUGUGUACAAUGUAAAAGAUGAUUGAAAUAUCGAUUCAUUAUUAUUAUAAAUAAAGCGUUGCUUGGACCCUGCAAAGGGAGAUCUGAAUAUCUAUCUUAUGCCUUUUUUGAACUUAAACCAAAAACAACUAAUAUUUCCCGCCUUGUUUCAGAUACAUGUCCAAUAACCAUUUUAACAACUUUAAACACCAGCGUCUCUUUUCAUUGUACAAUAGUAGAAGCAGAUUACCCUAUUACUGUAAAAUUUUAUCAAACGAUACAAUUUUUUACAAUUGAGGUAUACAUGUUCGGCGUUU
rnacentral:lncRNA from 1 species